AUUGAACGCUGGCGGCAUGCCUUACACAUGCAAGUCGAACGGCAGCACGGGAGCAAUCCUGGUGGCGAGUGGCGAACGGGUGAGUAAAGUAUCGGAACGUGCCCAGUCGUGGGGGAUAACGUAGCGAAAGUUACGCUAAUACCGCAUACGAUCUAUGGAUGAAAGCGGGGGAUCGCAAGACCUCGCGCGAUUGGAGCGGCCGAUAUCAGAUUAGGUAGUUGGUGGGGUAAAGGCCCACCAAGCCGACGAUCUGUAGCUGGUCUGAGAGGACGACCAGCCACACUGGGAAUGAGACACGGCCCAGACUCCUACGGGAGGCAGCAGUGGGGAAUUUUGGACAAUGGGCGAAAGCCUGAUCCAGCCAUGCCGCGUGCAGGAUGAAGGCCUUCGGGUUGUAAACUGCUUUUGUACGGAACGAAAAGGACUGCCCUAAUACGGUGGUCCCAUGAUGGUACCGUAAGAAUAAGCACCGGCUAACUACGUGCCAGCAGCCGCCGCAG
rnacentral:rRNA from 1 species